AGCACCUUGGCGCAGUGGAAGCGCGCCGGGCUCAUAACCCGGAGGACACUCGAUCGAAACGAGUAGGUGCUA